AUUUUAUUUUAUUUAUUUAUUUAUUUAUUUUAACACCAACAGAAGUGAUAACCAUUUUUGCACACAGAACACUGAAAUCUUUUUUACCGGCUCACAAUAUCAGAGACCAGAGUUCUCCUUAUGAGAAACCCAGGUCAGCAGUGCCCCGUGCAUCACCUGGACAAUGGCAGCCAUUCUUUCAUUUGCUAGAAGGCCCAAGGUCUUGUCGUCCACCAGGAGGCUCUCCUUGGAAGGGUGCCUUGGACUCAGGCUGUGCAUAGGCACAAACGACAAUGGGCCUAGUAGUCUUCAUCACAGGCCACAUGCCAGCGGCAGGAAAGCUUCUUUUCUACUGCAGGGAAAGCCAAUUAGUGCUGUUUAAUGAAAAGCGACUUCCUUUUGUUUACUUUAUAGAAAAGCAAAUUAAGUGUUCUAGUCAUCAUCAAUUUAAAUUAAGACUAGGAAACAAAGACCGAGCUAAAAUUAAUACAACUAUACCUCAGUUCUGCAGUAUGACCAGAUAGAAAGAAAACGAGGAGUAUAAUAAAGAGAUAGGAAAGCAGAAAAAAGUAUGGCAAGGCUCUCAGAGGAAGAGGCACUUGGGCAAAUGGGCAGACAGACCCUUCGCCGACACAGACACCCGGCACAAGAGGUCAACAGAACAUGCAACAGCGUGUCACCCCGUCUUGUGUCUUUUGGGAUACUGGCAAUUGACACCUGAAAAAAUCGGGUUCCCUUUUCACAGCUAUAGUGAUCAAGCUCCUCUUGGGACCUGCUCCAUCCUUUGGAAGACGGAUUCAUUUAUUAGCAGAAGUUUCCCAUUUGUGGCUUUAUGGUCUUGGGAGAGGAAUCGCAGAAAUAUUACCUAGCUAGGAGACAGCAAACGCCUGGACAUUGGUGAGGAUGAAAACAGGCUCAGAAGCUAAUUUUCAGGAAAAAGACUCAAAUUAUUACAGAACUACAAAAAUGAAGAGAAAAAAUUCAGACACAUCGAUAUUCAAAUUCAAGGGGGAUACAUUUAGGAAAAGGUAAACCUUAACCCAGCAUUAGGCUUAGCCAUAUCUUCUAGAACACCUUAUGCUAAUAUGGCUCCUUCAGAUGCUACAUUGAGUUUAGGCACCAAACAUUUAAGUCUCUCCUUCUCAGAGCACUUGGGGUCAAGACCCACAGAAGGGGCUGGCCCACCCUUCGGAGGCUGAAGAUCUUUGUGCUAGAGGCUCCCUCACCAGGUACCUCCUGUGGGUUUCUUCUGGGACUGGCGCUAGAUGUUGUUCUGGACACUCUCUCAUUAAUGAGUGCCUCCUUUGCAGGCUUGAAUUCUUCCCCUUCCAUUCCUUCUGAAACAUUGCUUUUCCCUUUUACACGCACCUCCAUGUAGCCCUGAAAUUCUGCGGCCAUCGUCUUCACCUCCAGACAAUGACACCCACCUUUCUUUCUCUGUAAGAGUGGGUUCCUGAGGGCCAAAUGCAUGGCUAGCUCUGAUGCGUGUUAGCUCGUGGCCUCUGGCUGAUUAGACGUACUCAUGGGUUUUCCAUUUACCAAGCAGGAUUAUUCCUCCUCCCUGACAUGUGUUGAGAGGACAGAAUGAGACAGAAUGUGUGGGCACCUGGUUCAGUGGCUGGCGGGAGGGCACCCCAUCCCUCAGCAAGCCGUAGGCCUGCCUGGUCCCCCUUCCUUCCCCUUCCAUCCUCUGCCCACCAUCGCGUCUCUCCCAGCCCCUGCUUCUGAUGUCCUGGGUGUUUUGUCAGCAAAUAUUACCCAGGAAACAGCAAAAGGGAAAGGAUACCCUAACCCACGCAGUCCUGGGGGCCGUCAUCCAGGCAGAGUUGGUCUGCAAACAGAAAACCCAUCUGCCUGCAGCAGCCUAUGAGGAGGGAAGGCCUCUCUCUCCAGCUCACUCCAGCACCUCCUUGGUGGACUCUUGCCUGGAACCAAACGAGGAAGGAGAUUCUAGGAAGGACGGCACUGGCUUUUCCUCAGGAGUAGAGGGAGUGGCAAUGUCAGAAGGGAGAGUCCAGCCAGGACGCUGGAGCUGGUGAAACACCCCAGGUCCUGACUGAUAGAAACCUGCCCGAGACCAGCUUCCUCACUGCGCCGUCCUUCCCGCCCUCAGGGCUUUCGUAGGCGCUGAACGCAGCGCUGGGGAUUCUGAAGGUUGUUGGUGGAUUCCUAGAAUGUAGCCCGCAGAACUGUGCCUGGAACGAUACCGGAUCACUGCAAAAGUACAGCGAACAGGGUCGCUUUGAAUAUUAAAGGAGGACUUUUUCAAAGUGUAUAGAGAGCAGUCAAAAGAUCGCCACAGUUGCUCUGUGUUUUCGUGAGCCAGCUUUCUCGGAAGGACUAAGCCAGUGGAUCACAAACAUCCUGGAGAGCAGUGACUCUGUGAUUCCAUCACAAGAAUAUGAAGGACUGAGAAGAUCUCCAGCUCUGCCCAUUGCACCUUCCCAUUGAGAAGCAGCAUGGCACCCUGGUGGCAGGGGCUGAUACUCAGCCGGGCCAGGGUGCUCUCCUGUUAACCAUAACCAAGCUCACAGGACAUGGGAUGAGCCCACUGUGUGACACAGGGAGCGGGACACAGUCUGUUAAGUCUUGCACAGCCAUGCUCUGCCACGCAGGCAGGCCUUUCCUUGGCCUCCCUCUCCCUGUUCGUGCUCAUGUGAACAUCCACCUACGUGGAUAGACUGGGCUUUGGUUCAUUAUUGCUCUGUGAAUUCCUCGAACUUCCGCAUCUGCCCAACCUCCCCCACCCCAUUGUUUUCAUUGUGUUUCACCAAAUGGAAAUUCUAGAGGACACCAGGGAGUACACGCUCCCCUUUCUGAAUAUGUUGUAAGCUCCUUUGAGGCAAAAAUGAAUGUUCCUGUGUUACAAGAACAGAGCAGCCCUUAUCAUCUUCUCGAAUCUUAUCUUUCUGAGUUAAACAUUUGGCAUCAGUGACGAAGUAAGACCAGACAUUGAGGAUGAGACGUCAAAUCCAAGUUUGUAGAAAACACACAGUUGAUGCAUCUCACAUCUCUCAAAUUCUUCUCUGUGGACUCUAUGCUUACUGUUCCUGAAGAUGUUCACCAAAUGGGACCAAACCUCCAAAAAAGGAGAAUUUUAAUUUCUUCUUACCCUACUUAGAUGCUGGAUUGCAUAAUGUGGUUGUAAUCUUUAACUAUUUUUUUAAAAAAUAUUUGAGAUUAAAAAAUACUUAGAGGGGCAAUAGUUAGGGCAGGGGAGUGUUCAGUCCCUUUAUGAAGAUGUUUUUUGGCUGGGCUAGCACCUCGGCCUUGUGUUGAAGGAGUGAGAAGUAACUUGUACCACCGGCCACAGCUCUAGCUUGUGUUGGAAGUUUUGCAGAGUUGUUGAUCCUCUGCCAAGUAGACCAGUGAUUCCACCUAAAUGGGUAAGUUGGUUUUAUCAUCCAUUAUUCCACGGAGGUGUAUAUUGGCUCAGGUUGAAAUGUUGUUGAUAUCCACUUUGCACUCUGAGCAAGCCCGCCACAUUCAUGAUUGGAUUGAUUGGUGUCUCACAAGAACUCCAGAGACACACCAUCUCUCCUGUUUGGCAGGUGAUGAACCUGAGGCUCAAAAUGAACAAGUGACUUCCCAAGGCCAAUGAUAAGCACUAGACCAUUAAUUUCUUCUUUAGAUGUCAAGUCCUUUCCAUUCUGCACUGGCACAGACAUCUCAAGUUGAGGCCUAUAAGCAAACACCUAUGUCCUAACCAAAAGACUAGGAUUCCCAAAGAAAUUAUACAAGAUGAUUUAAAUUUCCUGGACCUUUCCUUUUAUGGUGUGCCUAUCAGUUAGGAUUCUUUACAAAUAACAGAUAACCCAAAUCAAAAUGCUUAAGCAAAAAACAUGAUUUUUUAAAAAUCUCAUGUAGCUGAAAGUACAGAGUAGGGCAGAUAUCAGAGUUGAUUGAUUCAGAGGCCAGAUGAUGUCAUCAAGACCUGCAUUCUGCAGUCACGCUUCGUCUGAAAGCUGGGUCCCUUGUUUUCUGGGAAGAAUUCAGGACAAUUCGCAGACGGAGAGCAUUUUCCCAAGCAACAAUUUUGAGAGGAACCCUGAUCAGAUGGUUUAUGUAAAACGACCAGAUGCUGUGGCCAGGGAAGGAAAGAUGCUGCCCUGGUCACCCCUGGCAUCAUGUAGUGUCAGCCUUCCCCAUAGCCCAUGGAGCAGGGGAGGAUAAUGGGAUAAAAAUCCACAUGGCCUCUUUAAGGAGAAGCGGGUGGGAAGGUGAACACUGGAUAGUAAACUAAUAACGGCCAUCCGGUGUUCACAUGCUACAGACAUCAAAGCCUAAUUCUCUUCGUUUUCAGAUAGAAUCUUCAACUCGGAGGCACCAGUCUCUCUCACUUGAGGAAAGAAUGCGAAGGAAGGAAUGGCCUGACUUCCUCAUGUGUGCCCUGUUUCUCGGUAGGCACCAUGUGGGGGCUGCCACACAUGUGCCGAAGCUUUGGGAACGUUCCGUUUAAAUACCAAUUUCGAUGCCAAUGCCUAACAUGGAGCACAAAUAUCCAGUAUUCUUUCUGAAUCUGCAAUUGCUGCAUCCAAUUCUUCUGUCAUGCCAGGACACCCCAUUCCUGGGUAAUCCCGA
rnacentral:lncRNA from 10 species